ensembl:miRNA
AAGUAAGGUGGUAUUAGAUUGGUGCAAAAGUAAUUGCAGUUUUGCGUUAAAAGUAAUGGCAAAAACCACAAUUACUUUUGCAACAACCUAAUA